GUUCCUGGUUCUCAGGCCUUUGGACUCAGACUACAGGACACCACCAGCUUUCUUGGUUCUUCAGCUUGCAGAUCAUGGGACUUCUCAGACUCCAUUAGUGAGAUGCUCCAGAGUCAGGCAGUGCUAUCCUUACUGUGAACACUCAUCCCGAGUGGAAACAAAGGGACUCUGAGGAACAGGAAUUUAUGGCCACGGAUCAGUGAUGCUUUCACAUCGGGCUGGUGGAAGCAAGACUCACGUAGGGGAUGGCCUGGCAGGAGCGGAUGGAGUCGCUGAAGCCCAGCCACUGCUGGUAGUCGGGGUAGUCCCCGCGCCGCAGGAAGUACUGGUGGCCCUGGUAGUUGGGGCGCUCGUAGAGCAUCCAGCAGCCGCUGUCCACGCGGAUGGAGUUGCAGCGGCUGAAGUAGGGCUGCAGGUUGGGGCAGUCGCUGCUGCACUCGUAGUGCCGGCCCUGGAAGCCCCGGUCCUCGUAGAAGGUGAUCUACGGUGGGAAACAAGGGGGGGGGGGGCAGAAGUCAGCGAGGAAGCACCCCCAAACACAGUAGACACUCCGCUGACGUGGCCUGGCACCUCGGGGGGCUCACCUUCCCCAUGGUUGUUGGCCUCGGAUGAUCAGCGUCCAGUGUGAUGGGGACAAGUGUGGCAGCCGGUAUAUGUAGCAGGAGGGCUGCUGCGUUGGCAAGAACAACACAAAAGGGGCCUGGGGGUAGUGCGUGAGGGGAUUUCUAUGUUCUCUCUCUUUUUUUCAUUUGGGAUCAUGGGGCAGGGGGCUCUCAUUCUCUCUGGCAUUUUCGAGUUCUCCUCACUAGCUCCAGUGAAAGGAAUUGAGGUCAGCAGAGCCAUUAUGACCUUGGAGACAAAGGGCGCACUUCUCAUCCUAUGCAGCUCUCUAGAAAUACAUUACAUGCCCAGCAUUUUGUGUGUUUGCCUAUGGAAACUGCUGAGAUGGGGUUGGCGGUUCCAUCUGGGGUGACUCGUGACAAUCCUGUGAGUUCCAGAAGGACUUGAAGGGGUAAAGGUGACCAGAAAAAUCCUCUGAUUGAAAGGCAAUUACAUUUUCUAAAUUACUUCCUUGAUAUGAUGUGGUUUUGAUAAAAGUAUUUUGCAUAUGUUUAUGUAGGGGGAAAUAUUAGAAUGGUGUAUGUAUAUACCAAAACAUCAGUGAUGGUUAUCAAUAAAUGGUAAGAUUAUAGA